GUAAGCAGCAAGAAGAAGAAAGGAGAACGAAGAAGGAGAAGAAAGAAAGAGAAGGAAGAAAGAGAAAAGAGGGAGAUUAAGGAAGAAUUCCUUCAUCUAAAGCAAACUCUGGAUCAAUUGAGUUCCAAGAAGUAAGAGUUGCAGUGAGGAAACCUACUCAAUUCACAAAGGAGAAAUUGCUAACCUUGGACAUCUAGAUGACGAAGGUGGUAUUUUGCCGACGCCCGGCACUGCUCAUGAGGCAAUGCCCAUGGAUCACAUGGCCUAUAUUCAAAAAGAUGAACACGACCAUGGACCCGUCUGUGACUGUGACGACUGCGCCUACGGAGGCCAGUAUUUCUAAGGAGUAGACUUACCAUGGACUAUUCUUUUUGUGUAAAUAUAUAUUUCCGCGAAGAUCACACUUUUUGGUGAUCCGAGCCUUUAUGGGAGAUGUCAUAUUUUGUGUAAAUAUUCCUUUGAUAUUUUGGAUAACUAUAAUAUA